GGGGGGGGGGCAGACAAAAAAAAAGGGAGGGGAGCCAAAGCGUAAAUACAAGCAAAGUCAAAUCCAAAUUAAAAAGCCCCUAUUCCCCUCCUUUUCUUCCGCCACAGAACUUGAAAUAUUCCGGUUCCUCUGAUUUGGGGGCUUCAUCGGACGCUGAAGUAGAUUUCUGUUUGUUUGGAGUCUUUUUUUUUCCACGGUGCGUUUGGGUUUAAAGGCUGGACACGUAGGAGCAAUUCCUCUGUAGACUUCUACUUUGGUUUGUAAAAGACCCGGAAGACUUUAUAGACUCUGGAGUAAAUAUCGUACCAGUGCGUGAGGUUGGGAACAGAAGAACUACUGUGGAAGCGUCGUAUUUUAUGAAUGUGUAAAUGUUGUGUAUAUAAAAAUAAAGAUUUACAUU